UCCUUGGCCUUCCUCAGUCCAACAGCCUUAGCUAUCUGGAGGGCAGUGGAUCCUUCUUUCUUCACCUUUAAAAAGCCCACAGCUGGCUACAGUAGCCAACCGCAACAUGCUCACCUGGUAAGGUCGAAUGUCAUAUAAAUAAAGUGUGGAACUUUA